UCACCUGGAACACAAUGAGACUCAAUGAGUGGGUUACUCAGGCUGCUCAUCUACUGAGCCCUGCUUUUGUCAGCAGUAUAUUGUAUAACUACUUACCACAAACCCAAGGCCCAAACAAGCUUUUAUUGAGCAGAAUAAUUUGUCGCCUGCUGUAAUUUCUGACGGAACCAAUUCAAGAGAUGUUCGCAACACGCAAAGAUUGAAGGAUUCAAGGACUCCAAUUUAUUCUAAGUACAUCUAAAAAUCCAACAAAGGGUUCAGCCAAAUGUGCAGUAUCCAAGGACAAAAACCAAUCAAUAUUAAUUGAAGAUCGAUUCAGCUGGUGAUUAUCCUUAGACAGCAUGCUUCUUAAAAAAUCUACAAGGAUGUGGCCAAACUAUGGAUAUUUUUCGAAAAAGGAUAUCAAUAUAAAAGUUGCCAUAACUUGGACAUUGCCAGGACUAUCAGGACUUGCUUUGACUUGCAGCAGCCUACUAAUUGGGACAUUGAAGGAUACAAGGACCUCUACGACUUUAACAAAGUCAGCCAAAUCUACUGCGCCCAAGGACAACAAAUUAAUAUUGUUAGAUGACCGCAUAUUGUUUUAAUGCAGAUCAAUGCAGCUGGAAAAUACCCCAAUCCAUUUUGAUUCUGCAAAUCAGCUGCACACAAGGACAACGAAUGUGUAGAUAUAUUCUUAGAUGACCGCAAAAAGUUUAGUUGCAGAUCGAUGCAGCUGAUUGAAGGAUUUAUGGACUCCAAUGGAUUCUAAGGACCUCUACAGCUCCAACAAGGAUAUCCCGACAAGGAUCGGAAGGAUAUUUAGCCAAAUAUAGCUAUUUUAAGUAAAAAUAAGAAAUUCAUUAAGAA